GUGGCACCGUCACAGCUCCCUACAACCACCAACCCCCGAGCUCAAGCGAUGCUCCUGCCUCUGGAGUAGCUGUGAGUUCAGGCGUGAGAUGCCACGCCAGGUAGGGACCGUUAUGAAAAAAUACUGAGUGCAGCCCUCUCAGGUUUUCUUCUGAUUGUGGCUUUCCUCCAUCAGAUCUUAACCUUAAUAUUCGCAUUGAGCAAACAACAAAUAUGAAGCGUUUUAGGCAGGGAAAGGCCGAAUUUCAGUGCCUUUGUGUCAUAUCUGGAAGAAAUCAAAAGAAACGAAAACCAGAAGUUGAUUCUUUCCAAGCAUAAUAGAAGGAGACCCUAAGAACUCAACGUCUGGAAGCCACGAUGGAAACUUCUUGUGGUUAUUAUCUGACACUUUUCCAGUCUUUUGCUUUUCAAGUCCUACGCAGUAUUCUGAAGAAUGUGUAUCUCGCAUUAGUACCAAGUGUCUCCUGCUCAGAGCAGUCUCCAUGCUCCAAAAUACUGACCACUACCACCAGCAUGUUCAGGGAGCGGCUCAGAAAAUGAAAGUUGCCUCCUGAAAAUUACUACAAAAAGGCCUUUCAGGAAGGGGGUGUAGCUCAGCGGUAGAGCACAUGCUUUGCAUGUAUGAAGCCCCGGGUUCGAUCCCCGGCACCUCCAGCUGGUGAUUUUGCUCUGACAGUGUUCAAUCCUAAUUCUCAAGCAACGGACUUCUGCCUCCUAACAUUUUUCUAUCCUGUUUUCUGCUCAUAUCGAGAGUACAAAUGUGGCCCAAUGCGUUGCCUUGAACUGUCUCCAAUCUCUAUGUUGUGCGCCUCGACGUCACCUAAGGCGAUUGUGACGGCAGAAGGAAGACAAAAAAGAAAUGAGGAGGAAAAAAGAACGGGAGCCCAACGGGGUCUCUUGGACCCAAACAAGAGCCUGCACAUCCGCAGGCGGCUCGCGUUCGCUCCCAUUCUGUACUAUGAUAAAAGAGACGGAAAGACAAAGAAGAAGAAGGGAGAAAAAUGCCCCGCGGACGCUUUUUUUUUUUUAAGUUAUUUUUGUUUUCUGGGCCGAAGAGCAGAGUGAAAGCAUCUGUCCACCGAUUUCUCCACCUGCGCAGAGAGCCAGACACAAGUGCCAUCCAGUGCUGAGACAGGGACAGCGCAGCUCUCCAGCCGCUGGAUAUGGGAGGGGAAGGACGCCGGACAAUCGACCGAAGACUGCCGGGGAAUCAGAGGCCUGCAACAUGCGAGGGGCAGAAACCAACACGGAUCAACAUCCCCUACUCAUAUUCCGUAAGACUGACUCAUAUUACCGUAUUUCCUCAGCCACUCCAUUUUCCUCGAUAAAAUAAAACAUUGCCUGGGUACUUCUGGUAACAGCAAACGGAGGCCCCACACGAAAAAGUAGGAAAAGAUUUUCUGUCACAAUGGAAAAUACGUGCAGAGUAACAGCUGGAACUCCCAAGAAAUCCUGUGCACUCAUGGUACCUUUGAAGGGUUUCCAGUGGUGUAUGGUUUCCAAGCUCUAUUUCGUGCCAACAAAGGGGAAAAAAUAAGUUAGUAAACACCCAGAAGGCAGAAAAGCCACCUCUCUCCAUCUGCAGAAGCCAAGCAAGCGGGUGGGCUUCCGUAGCAUCCUCUCUUUCACUCACGUUCUAAACGCUGUAACUUCCACCGCCUGCCAGGGGGUAACGGCGUCGCUAAACUCAAUCUGAGCUCAACCCACCCGACUAGGGACGGGGUCCCCUAUUUGCCUCUGCACCUGUCCUAGGACCGCGGAGACGCUGGCUGCACACGCACUUGACACCGACUGCCCCGACUCCGCCCCUGCAGAGGCCUCUGGAGCCGAGCGCUGGACGCGAGCAGCAAAGGAGCUCGUUGCAAACGGCAGGAGUUUCUUCGCGCGGCGCCGGCUUUUAAUCUCUCACACAUUCUGGGAGAAAUACGUGGAGCAAACAAACGGGAACUUUCAUUCCCACCGUUUGCAUUUGGAGCUAAAGCUAAUACAAUGAAGCGUUUCCACGGCCACGCUCAGUCUCGAAGCUGCGGGCAGAUCCGCGGCUAACGCUCCACGCGGCACGCGGGAAAUCGGGAAAUCGGGAAAUCCCAGCGGCUCCCUCAGAAGCUCCAGGAUCGCCGGUUCCCGGACCGAAAAUAAAAACCCCACAUCACGGGCGUCCCCAAAGUGCAGCCGCGGAAAGCGCGAGGCGGUCCCGAAGCCCUGACAGCCGGCGCCAAGCGAACCAGGCCCCUUCCGGGCCGAGCCGCCUCCCUAGGGACAGAAAGGAGCGUCUCUUCCCUCCCGUCCAGAGAAGCGACGGCGACACGCGGCGCUCACACUCGCGCUGCCAUCCCGUCCGGCCGAGUCCGAACCACGUUGAGGACGCUUUUCCUGCCCUCCACCCCUCCCUUUUGUUUUUCUUCCUCCACUUCCCCGCACCCGCCCCUUCUCUCCCCGCAGCGGGCGCCGGGCUGGUCUCCACCGUCCGCCCCGUUUACUCCUGAUGAACUUUUCACUAGAGCGCAGCCUCCCAGGGCCGUUCGCACGCACUGUAAGCACCGUGUGAGGUUCACAUGCAGCUGCUCUUUUAAUUCGCGCAUCGCUUUCCCUUUGUCUCCUUUCUCUAUGAGCUCAGCUUCAAGCCUUUCUGCAGCUGAGGCUGAGGCUGCGCGCAGCAGGGGAGACACGCGAGGCGCGAUCAUCCUAGAGCAGCGGAUUCUGUUUCCUGUCUGGGAAGGCUCAGACCGUACAAAGGGGAGAAAAAAGUUUGUAAGAGAAUUAAAAAAAAAAAAAUUAUCCAAAACGUUUUCUAAUCGCGUCUCCCACUAAAUCUUAGCUAAAAACAGAAAGCCUGGACUUUUUCUCGAAAUAGGAGACCGAGUGGGAAAA